UGGCAGACUUGGUAUUGUUG
rnacentral:misc_RNA from 1 species